GUAAAGGCAUAAAGGAGCUUGACUGCGAGACCUACAAGUCGAGCAGGGACGAAAGUCGGGCUUAGUGAUCCGGUGGUUCCGUAUGGAAGGGCCAUCGCUCAACGGAUAAAAGCUACCCUGGGGAUAACAGGCUUAUCUCCCCCAAGAGUUCACAUCGACGGGGAGGUUUGGCACCUCGAUGUCGGCUCAUCGCAUCCUGGGGCUGUAGUCGGUCCCAAGGGUUGGGCUGUUCGCCCAUUAAAGCGGUACGCGAGCUGGGUUCAGAACGUCGUGAGACAGUUCGGUCCCUAUCCGUCGCGGGCGUAGGAAAUUUGAGAGGAUCUGUCCUUAGUACGAGAGGACCGGGAUGGACAUACCGCUGGUGUACCAGUUGUUCCGCCAGGAGCAUCGCUGGGUAGCUAAGUAUGGAUGAGAUAAACGCUGAAAGCAUCUAAGUGCGAAACUCACCUCGAGA
rnacentral:rRNA from 1 species